CUCGCCAGCUCCUGCGAGAUUGCAGAGCUUGGUUCUUCCUUCGUUUUCUUCAAUUUUUCUCUAUAAAAACUUGCAUGCAAAGCUUGAUUCAUAUUCUAAACACAUAGGUGCAUACUGGGAAGGUAAAAGUUCGAGCUUUAAGAGUCGGGAAGUUCAAGAAGCAAGGCCAUCUUCUUCAAUCAAGGAAACAGAUCAAAAAGAAUCAAGAAUCCAGUCUUGAGGAGCAGUAGAAGUCGAGUUACACCAUUUACAAGUUAAGACUCUUGUGCAGGGAAAAGCAAGCUAAGGUAGUGUGAGGGAUGAGCUGUAGUGAAGUCAUGUCUCAACUGUCAUAGUGG